AUGGAGGCGCUCCCGCGCCUCGACCCGAGUUCGCAGCCCUCGAAACCCGUCGAAUCCGAGCUCCAAUUCUUUGCGGUGCCGCCGCCGCCACAGCUCCGGUCGAGCCCAGUCGACGCUAGAGACCACCACUGCCGUCUCCGAGGAGGGAAACGGAACCGCCAAGUCAAGCCGAGCCUCUCGAAUUCAAGACUGAGUAUUCGUCGGCGCUGCCACGGCUUCGACAGAGCCCAGCCGACGCCAGAGAACACCACCGACGUCUCCCAGGAGAGAAACGGAACCACCGACUCAAGGAAAAUCUCUUGGACGCCUUCCCGAGGAGCAAGGAUCACCGGAGCCAGCUCAGCGACAAGCCCCAAAGCCGCCGGCGCCGCCUGA
rnacentral:rRNA from 1 species